UUGUACACACCGCCCGUCACGUCAUGAAAGUCGGUAACACCCGAAGCCAGUGGCCUAACCCUUGGGAGGGAGCUGUCGAAGGUGGGAUCGGCGAUUGGGACGAAGUCGUAACAAGGUAGCCGUACCGGAAGGUGCGGCUGGAUCACCUCCUUUCUAAGGAGCACCACGAAAAGCAUCCCAAUUGGUGGGAUGCGAGCCGUGAGGGGUUCUCGUCUGUAGUGGACGAGGGCCGGGUGCGCGGCAACAAACAAGCCAGACACACUAUUGGGUCCUGAGGCAACACUCAGGCUUGGCCAGAGCUGUUGUCCCACCAUCUUGGUGGUGGGGUGUGGUGUUUGAGAAUUGGAUAGUGGUUGCGAGCAUCAAAUGUAUGCGUUGCCGUUCGCGGCAGCGUGUUUAUUUGUGCAAUUUUAUUCUUUGGUUUUUGUAGUGUUUGUAAGUGUCUAAGGGCGCAUGGUGGAUGCCUUGGCAUCGAGA
rnacentral:misc_RNA from 2 species